rnacentral:rRNA from 1 species
UACAGAGGUCCCAAGCGUUGUUCGGAUUCACUGGGCGUAAAGGGUGCGUAGGCGGCGCGGUAAGUCGGGUGUGAAAUCUCGGGGCUUAACCCCGGGACUGCGUCCGAUACUUCCGAGCUGGAGGUGGGUAGGGGAGAUCGGAAUUCCUGGUGUAGCGGUGAAAUGCGCAGAUAUCAGGAGGAACACCGGUGGCGAAGGCGGAUCUCUGGGCCUUACCUGACGCUGAGGCGCGAAAGCUAGGGGAGCGAACAGG